rnacentral:misc_RNA from 1 species
GGAGUAGAGAAGUGAGAAAUGGCAGGGUUCCUGGGUUCAUUAAAAAUGUUGUAUAUUUUAAUAGAGAUACUUUAAUCUUUUCAUAGUAAACUAACAGAAAAAAACUUUGAAAAUGGACAGAUAAAAAGUUAGGGAUACAGUAAAAAAUUAGGGAUGUUUUAAUGUAAUUGCAAAAAAGGAGGGUUGAACAAUACCCAUUGACUUUAUAGUAAUGCACCCUUAAAGUAAUGUACAGACACAGGAGAGACAUCAAAUUUAGUGAUCAAUGAAGAAUUAAUUGUAGAACAGUCCAAACUGAUUCUAAGUUAUAACUUUCUGUAUCCGUGCAUCUAUUCUUUUUUCUUCUUUUUUUUUCCAGGAUAAAUGAAAAAAAUUAUGUGCAAUGGUUUAUGAGUUGAUGAUUAUGCUAAAUUAGCAACCAAAAAAUAAAUAAUAAAAUUGUUUGCUAAGAGAUGUCAAUUUUGAAAAAGAAUUCACAGGACAACAACUUCAGCAAAACAUAAUGCUGUCCCUUUCAAGUUUAACACUAGCAAUUGAGCAAAUAGAAAUUGC